UAGUCCACGCCGUAAACGAUGAUCACUGGUUGUGUGCGAUACACAGUGCGCGACUGAGGGAAACCAUUAAGUGAUCCACCUGGGGAGUACGUUGGCAACAAUGAAACUCAAAGGAAUUGACGGGGGGUCCGCACAAGCGGAGGAACAUGUGGUUUAAUUCGAUGAUACGCGAGGAACCUUACCUGGGCUUAAAUGUAGAGUGCAUUAAUUGGAAACAGUUGUUUUCUCGGAACUCUUUACAAGGUGCUGCAUGGUUGUCGUCAGCUCGUGCCGUGAGGUGUCGGGUUAAGUCCCAUAACGAGCGCAACCCCUAUCGUUAGUUGCUAGCAGGUAAUGCUGAGGACUCUAGCGAAACUGCCGGUGUAAACCGAGAGGAAGGUGGGGAUGACGUCAAAUCAGCACGGGCCCUUAUGUCCAGGGGCUACACACGUGUUACAAUGGUCGAUACAAUGGGGCAGCUACCUGGGUAACAGGGAUGCUAAUCU
rnacentral:rRNA from 1 species